AAUUUCGGGUGAUUGCGGCUGACUUAUGUCAGUUGAGGAAAGUCCAUGCUCGCACAGACUGAGAUGUUUGUAGUGUUCGUGCUCGGUGAAAAAAUAAGCCGGGGAACCAGUAAUGGUUACGGCGAGUAAAACGGCUAAGGCUUCGGCUAUGCCCGAGUAACUCUGAAAAGUGCCACAGUGACGAAGCAAUAUUGGAAACGAUAUUGAUGGAACGCGGUAAACCCCUCGAGCGGGAAACCCAAACUUUGGUAGGGGAGCUUCACAUAAGGAAUUGAACUGAUUGUGGGGGGAGACAGUAAUGUCUCGAGAUAGAUGAUUGCCACUGUAUGAUUGAGCCUGAAAAUCAUACUUCGACACAACAUGGCUUACAGAA
rnacentral:RNase_P_RNA from 2 species